GACGAACGCUGGCGGCGUGCUUAACACAUGCAAGUCGAACGAAGAGCGACGGAAGCUUGCUUCUAUCAAUCUUAGUGGCGAACGGGUGAGUAACGCGUAAUCAACCUGCCCUUCAGAGGGGGACAACAGUUGGAAACGACUGCUAAUACCGCAUACGAUCUAACCUCGGCAUCGAGGAUAGAUGAAAGGUGGCCUCUACAUGUAAGCUAUCACUGAAGGAGGGGAUUGCGUCUGAUUAGCUAGUUGGAGGGGUAACGGCCCACCAAGGCGAUGAUCAGUAGCCGGUCUGAGAGGAUGAACGGCCACAUUGGGACUGAGACACGGCCCAGACUCCUACGGGAGGCAGCAGUGGGGAAUCUUCCGCAAUGGACGAAAGUCUGACGGAGCAACGGCGCGUGAGUGAUGACGGCCUUCGGGUUGUAAAGCUCUGUUAAUCGGGACGAAAGGCCUUCUUGCGAAUAGUGAGAAGGAUUGACGGUACCGGAAUAGAAAGCCACGGCUAACUACGUG
rnacentral:rRNA from 1 species